CAGGACCUGUGGUUCACAAUCAAAAAGAACAUAACAGAAAAAAAUUUGAAUUCUGAUGCUUCAUUUCCCCCCACACAAAGCAGAAUUAUGGCAAGCUCAGGUGACUUCAGGAAGAGGUUACCCCUAGAUAUCAGAAAACACACUGAACAGGGAGGGAGGGAAUCCCUGCACAGAGAAGAAUGGAUGGUAAAUUGAUUAAAAUUAGAGUAAUGAAUUCAUCCAGACAGCAUGGAGGCAG